AGACUGGGGGAUGGGCAGAGCCGGCCAGGGCGCAGGAUGGGUUUCCGCGUGGAACGUAGUCCGGACCCUUCAACGCCUGGCCAAGACCGAGGACCCCAGAUUCCAGACCCCUGCGGUGGCCUGGAGGACGCCAGGAACGGCCGACCAAGCGCGGAGUAGAAGGAAUGGAGAGGACGGUGCGGUGCGGAGGGGUUCCAGUUGCCUAGGUACUUUGGGCAAGACCCCUAAUGAACUUGGGCUGCACAUUGCAUGACUGUCCAAAUGAUAAUGGCAAUGAAUGAAAGAAGUCCCUGCGGUAAUCCACGCAAGUUAAACUAAGAAAAAACAACUCUAGGAACUCUGCAUCCUUUUUUAAACUCACUAUGGAGACCAGGCUAGCCUUGAACUCUGCAUUCAUCCCAAGCGCCAGGAUUAAAGAUUUGAACCACUGAACUCAAGUGUUGUUCCCUUUGACUUUAGCCAAGUCUACCGGAGGGAUUUUGCAGCAUCUUUUAUCUCCAUCCUACCGGUGUGCAGAAUUAAGACAAAACACUUCCAAAGGAAAAAAAGUCAAAGUACUAUGUAAUUAUUAAAUUAAUGUAAUAUGGAAAGGUCUGGAAUUAUAGAGGGAAGAAUAAAUGUUCAUUUCAAAGCAUCACAGUUUAUCUAAGAUAGAGAGCCUAGUCUUUAUUUGGGCAGAAAUUCCCCUGAUUAUU
rnacentral:lncRNA from 1 species